rnacentral:rRNA from 1 species
GAAUUUUGGACAAUGGGGGCAACCCUGAUCCAGCCAUGCCGCGUGUGUGAAGAAGGCCUUCGGGUUGUAAAGCACUUUCGGACGGAACGAAAUCGCGCGGGUGAACAAUCCGCGUGGAUGACGGUACCGUAAGAAGCAGCACCGGCUAACUCCGUCCCAGCCGCCGCGGUAAAACGUAGGGUGCGAGCGUUAAUCGGAAUUACUGGGCGUAAAGAGUGCGCAGGCGGCUUCGCAAGUCAGGCGUGAAAUCCCCGGGCUCAACCUGGGAAUGGCGUCUGAAACUGCGGGGCUAGAGUGUGGCAGAGGGAGGUGGAAUUCCACGUGUAGCGGUGAAAUGCGUAGAGAUGUGGAGGAACACCGAUGGCGAAGGCAGCCUCCUGGGUCAACACUGACGCUCAUACACGAAAGCGUGGGGAGCAAACAGG